UACAGAGGGUGCAAGCGUUGUUCGGAAUUACUGGGCGUAAAGCGCGUGUAGGCGGCCUUUUAAGUCUGAUGUGAAAGCCCGGGGCUCACCCCCGGAAGUGCAUCGGAUACUGGGAGGCUCGAGUACCGGAGAGGAGGGUGGAAUUCCUGGUGUAGCGGUGAAAUGCGUAGAUAUCAGGAGGAACACCGGUGGCGAAGGCGGCCCUCUGGACGGAUACUGACGCUGAGACGCGAAAGCGUGGGGAGCAAACAGG
rnacentral:rRNA from 1 species